rnacentral:tRNA from 1 species
UUUUAAUUAGUUUAUAAAAACAUUAUAUUUUCAAUAUAAAAAAGAAUUUAUUUAGUUCAUUAAAAU